GCCUCGGUGGUGAAGUGGUAGAGCAUGCGUCCCCGGGUAGGAUGAAUUGUGGGUUCGAUUCUCGCCUGAGGCC